AACGAACGCUGGCGGCAGGCUUAACACAUGCAAGUCGAGCGCCCCGCAAGGGGAGCGGCAGACGGGUGAGUAACGCGUGGGAAUCUACCCAUCUCUACGGAAUAACUCAGGGAAACUUGUGCUAAUACCGUAUACGCCCUUCGGGGGAAAGAUUUAUCGGGGAUGGAUGAGCCCGCGUUGGAUUAGCUAGUUGGUGGGGUAAUGGCCUACCAAGGCGACGAUCCAUAGCUGGUCUGAGAGGAUGAUCAGCCACACUGGGACUGAGACACGGCCCAGACUCCUACGGGAGGCAGCAGUGGGGAAUAUUGGACAGUGGGCGCAAGCCUGAUCCAGCCAUGCCGCGUGAGUGAUGAAGGCCCUAGGGUUGUAAAGCUCUUUCACCGGUGAAGAUAAUGACGGUAACCGGAGAAGAAGCCCCGGCUAACUUCGUGCCAGCCGCCGCGGUAA
rnacentral:rRNA from 1 species